ensembl:rRNA 5S_rRNA 5S ribosomal RNA
GUCUACGACCAAACAACCCUGAAUGUGCCCAAUCUCAUCUGAUCUCAGAAGCUAAGCAGGAUCGGGCCUGGUUUUUACUUGGAUGGGAAAAAUUCCAACAAGUACUUGUUUUGUCAGUG